UAAGACUGUCCUUUAGAAGCUUUACAUUUCCUUCGUUGUCCACUAAUGACUUGGCUUUUGCAACUUGUGGUUUACUUUGUAGCAAGAUUAUAGACCCCUAAUGAUGAUGAAGUAUAUGAUUGGGAACUUUGAUGUGUGGAAUGGCCCACAUGAAGCUGUUGAUGAAAAUGAUAGUCCAUUUCCUGAAUCCAGUUGUUUUCUCUGGCCAUCUCCCUCCACAUCCCCGCCUCCUAAACUUUCCUGGAUUCCUUCAAGUCUCAGGCCUUGAUGAAGAGAGGAGUUGUGGAAUUGUUCAUGAUCUCAGACAAUAAGGAUGACUGGAGCAAAGGCAAAAUGGAAGGUUGUGUCUGAUUCUUCAUGACCCUAUUUGGAGGUUUUCUGGAUUGGUUUGCCAUUUCCUUCUCCAUCUCACUUUACAGAUGAAGAACUUAAGCAAAGAAGGUUAAGUUACUUGCCCAGGGUCACACAGUUAGUAUGUGUUUGAGGCUAAUUUUUAAAGUCAGGAAGAUAAGUCUCCCUGAUUCUUAGACCUGAUACUUUACCCACUAUUACCAUCUGGCUGCCCCAUCUCAAAUUACUUAAUGGUUUUGUGUGUAUGUCUUUAAAGUACUCAGAUUUGCCAUUUUAAUGGAAAAAUAGCAUUCCAUUCCAUUAACAUAUCAUUUUGUUUAAC
rnacentral:lncRNA from 1 species